UACGUAGGGUGCAAGCGUUGUCCGGAAUUAUUGGGCGUAAAGAGCUCGUAGGCGGUUUGUCGCGUCUGCUGUGAAAACCCGAGGCUCAACCUCGGGCCUGCAGUGGAUACGGGCAGACUAGAGUGCGGUAGGGGAGAUUGGAAUUCCUGGUGUAGCGGUGGAAUGCGCAGAUAUCAGGAGGAACACCAAUGGCGAAGGCAGAUCUCUGGGCCGUAACUGACGCUGAGGAGCGAAAGUGUGGGGAGCAAACGGG
rnacentral:rRNA from 1 species